rnacentral:rRNA from 1 species
CAGUAGCCACGGGAAAACGUAGGUGGCAAGCGUUGUCCGGAAUUAUUGGGCGUAAAGCGCGCGCAGGCGGAUAGGUCAGUCUGUCUUAAAAGUUCGGGGCUUAACCCCGUGAUGGGAUGGAAACUGCCAAUCUAGAGUAUCGGAGAGGAAAGUGGAAUUCCUAGUGUAGCGGUGAAAUGCGUAGAUAUUAGGAAGAACACCAGUGGCGAAGGCGACUUCCUGGACGAAAACUGACGCUGAGGCGCGAAAGCCAGGGGAGCGAACGGGAUUAGAUACCCGCGUAGUCCCUGUCUCUUAUACA